UCCAUUUGGGCCAUACAGAGAAUAUUCCCCCACACAGGCCGUUGUGGGGGAAUAUUCUCUGUAUGGACCAAAUGGA